rnacentral:rRNA from 1 species
UACGUAGGGGGCAAGCGUUGUCCGGAAUCAUUGGGCGUAAAGAGCGUGUAGGCGGCCCGGUAAGUCCGCUGUGAAAGUCGGGGGCUCAACCCUCGAAUGCCGGUGGAUACUGUCGGGCUAGAGUGCGGAAGAGGCGAGUGGAAUUCCUGGUGUAGCGGGUGAAAUGCGCAGAUAUCAGGAGGAACGACCGAUUGCGAAGGCAGCUCGCUGGGACGUAACUGACGCUGGAGACGCGAAAGCGUGGGGAGCAAACAGG